CAAGACCGGCGUUCUACGCUGGCCAAGUAAAAACCCAAUUUCUGAGAGUCUUAUGAUCAAUUAUAUAGCAAUUAUGGAUACCAUAAGACGGCGUUCUAAACUGGCCAAGUGAAAACCUGAUAUUUAAGGGCCUUUUGAUCAAUUAUCUAGUAGUUAUAGGUGCCUCAGAACGCCGUUCUAAGCUGAACAAGUGAGAAACUGAUUUCUAAAGGUCUUAUGAUCAAUUUUAUAGUAGUUAUAGGUACCACGACACCGCGUUUUAAGCUGGCCAUGUGAGAACCCUAUUUCUGAGGCGUUCUAAGUUAGGUUGAUUAGGGCCCAAUAGAUGCUAGGUCGCAGUGCAUACCUCAUUUUCCCAUCUAGGUCGAUCAAAGUCAGCCAAGUGAGAACCCGAUUUAUGAGGGUCCUAUGAUCAAUUAUAUAGUUGUUAUAGUAGGAAACCUGUUAGGUUGAUCUAGGUCGAUCCUAACCUCUCUUAACCUCACCUAAUCUAUGCAUAUUUACAUAUUACAUGCAAAAAAUAUUUAAUAAAAUUCAAAUUUCCCAACAUAUUGUAAAUACAAAUUUAAAACCAAGCGCAUUUGCAACCAUGAAAAGAAAUUCAAAAUCAAAAUGAAUGUCAAAUUUCGUUGCACCGAACUGUUACAAACAAAGACACAAAGCGUGCCGAGCGCGAGUGACACGACCACUUCGUCUCUUUUCGUCGUCUUCUCGCCUACAAACAAACGGUUGGCGCGACAAAAAGAGUCUUCGUGUGAACAAGCGAGCAAGAACAACAAACAAGUAUGCGCCCGAGCACGGGCACACGUUCCCUUCGUCUUUGCUCGCCGUACAAUCGCCAACAAAAACAAAAACUGGUUUAAUUAAAAAAAAAGAGUCCGUGUGUGAACCGACACACAGCAAACUUGUCAAAAUUUAUACUCGAUACACGUAAAGCUACGAAGACGGAAACAAUUUGCGAAGAAAUACAUCAAAUAAAAAACCAAAUUGAACACUAGCUUACUAGAACACAACAAAAACUUUAGCAAUAUUGCAAAAUUUGAACGGGAUAAUGCUUUAAUUGAGUCUACAAUGCUAAAACUGGAACCAUAUAUCACUUACCACUUAACCACUAACCCGAAAACGAAAACGAAAAUGGCGCGCAACUAUCAGGCCCAUAAUUAUAUAUAUAAUAGUUAGCAUCAAAAUUGACUUUUGCAAAUAGCAACAACUAUUUGACAUUUACUUGUAUAUGGGGAAAUCUAUCUAAAACUCUCAAAAAGUUACUACUAACUUUAAAGUCUCUCGAGUCCGAGUCUACUAAAAUAUGCAUAUGAGUAUUUCGACUAUGUUUGUUUAAGCGUCGUAUAAGCAAACAAGCUGCAAAAGCUAAAUGCAAAUGUAACGGUUUAGCUGAGGUGACGUCACGUAAAGCGUAAGCAGAAUAGAAAAAAUAAACAACAAAUUGUUAUGGUUAUAGAGUUUUAAAAACAAAAGCAAAGUUACAUUAAUAAUAAUAAGAAAUUAAGUAUAAUAAAUAACACACCAAAAAUAAAAAAUAAUAAAUGCAUAACAUUUACUAGAUAAAAAGAGAGCGUGAAAAAAUCAGAAGAAAGCAACUGAAUUGCAUACAAAAAAAUUGUUGAAAAUUAGUCACUUCAUAUUAUUAUACACUUAAUAAAAAUAAAGAAGAAAAAAAAAACAACAACAACAUAACAAAAUAAUAAUAAUGAA